rnacentral:rRNA from 1 species
AACGAACGCUGGCGGCAUGCCUAACACAUGCAAGUCGAACGAAGGCUUCGGCCUUAGUGGCGCACGGGUGCGUAACGCGUGGGAAUCUGCCCUUUGCUUCGGAAUAACAGUUAGAAAUGACUGCUAAUACCGGAUGAUGUCGCAAGACCAAAGAUUUAUCGGCAAAGGAUGAGCCCGCGUAGGAUUAGCUAGUUGGUGGGGUAAAGGCCUACCAAGGCGACGAUCCUUAUCUGGUCUGAGAGGAUGAUCAGCCACACUGGGACUGAGACACGGCCCAGACUCCGACGGGAGGCAGCAGUGGGGAAUAUUGGACAAUGGGCGAAAGCCUGAUCCAGCAAUGCCGCGUGAGUGAUGAAGGCCUUAGGGUUGUAAAGCUCUUUUACCCGGGAUGAUAAUGACAGUACCGGGAGAAUAAGCUCCGGCUAACUCCGUG